rnacentral:tRNA from 1 species
GUUUUUAUAGUGUAAACAACACGUAACCUUUUCGGAGUUAAAACAAUAGUUAAUUUAAAAACA